rnacentral:rRNA from 1 species
UACGGGGGGGGCAAGCGUUGUUCGGAAUUACUGGGCGUAAAGGGCUCGUAGGCGGCCAACUAAGUCGGACGUGAAAUCCCCAGGCUCAACCUGGGAACUGCGUCCGAUACUGGAUGGCUUGAAUCCGGGAGAGGAUAGUGGAAUUCCCAGUGUAGCGGUGAAAUGCGUAGAUAUUGGGAGGAACACCGGUGGCGAAGGCGGCUAUCUGGACCGGUACUGACGCUGAUACGCGAAAGCCAGGGGAGCAAACGGG